UUUACUCCUUUGUUUAAAUGAGCUUACAUUCCUCAUUUGUAUAAUUUUUACAUCUUCUGUUUAUUUAAGUGCUUAGGUUUUGUUGACACGUCUGCUCUUGGGAAUGAAUUCCUAAGCACCAGCCUACACUGGCUCAACAGGCUCAACUCUGCACCAGCAAUUUCUCUUGUCAGUUACGUGGAUGUGCUGGAACCACAGAUGUUACAAUGAAGCAGAUCUCAUGUUACUUCAGCAAUCUCAGCGUGAAAGUUGAUUUCAGGUGGUGGUGAGUAAUUGAGUUGGUAUUUUGUGAUUCAAUGCAAGGACAGGCAGAGAAAAGAAAUGCUAUUUAUUUACCUAAUAUAUCCCCCAAUCUCAAAUUUAUUUGUGUUGUUG
rnacentral:lncRNA from 1 species